GAUGAACGCUGGCGGCGUGCCUAAUACAUGCAAGUCGAGCGAACAGACGAGAAGCUUGCUUCUCUGAUGUUAUCGGCGGACGGGUGAGUAACACGUGGAUAACCUACCUAUAAGACUGGGAUAACUUCGUGAAACCGGAGCUAAUACCGGAUAAUAUUUUGAACCGCAUGGUUCAAUAGUGAAAGACGGUUUUGCUGUCACUUAUAGAUGGAUCCGCGCUGCAUUAGCUAGUUGGUAAGGUAACGGCUUACCAAGGCAACGAUGCGUAGCCGACCUGAGAGGGUGAUAGGCCACAAUGGAACUGAGACACGGUCCAGACUCCUACGGGAGGCAGCAGUAGGGAAUCUUCCGCAAUGGGCGAAAGCCUGACGGAGCAACGCAGCGUGAGUGAUGAAGGUCUUCGGAUCGUAAAACUCUGUUAUUAGGGAAGAACAAAUGUGUAAGUAACUAUGCACAUCUUGACGGUACAUAAUCAGAAAGCCACGGCUAACUACGUG
rnacentral:rRNA from 1 species